rnacentral:lncRNA from 1 species
GCUCCGCAUCAAAGACUUAUAUAUACACAUUCUCAGCAAAUGACGAAUGGUUCAUAUAUGUUAUCUAUUCUUUAUCCUUACACUUCACACAUCAACUUCCUUGAGCAUUCGCAGAUAAGAUCAUAAUUGGAAUUUAAAUUUUAACUAAAAUAAUUACGAUAGGUUUCUAUAAAAUUCACUUUCAGUUUUGAAUUAAGUGUUAUUGUUAUAUAAUCAUAUAUACUUUUUAUGGUUAACAUAAAAUUAUUUAAAUGAUAUGUCUUCAAAAAAUAAAAUUAUUUAAAUGAUAUUUAAUUAGAUAUGUAAGGAUAAGAUUUAUCUUAUAAAAUUAGUGAAAGCAAAAAAAUUAGAAAAGUAACUUUUGUUUGUCUUUUAGAGCAAAAAUGAACUUAAGGAGUCGUUUUGUGUAGAAUGACCUUUCGGUAGGAUAAAGGGGGUGGUAGAAAAUUAGUUUAUAGGGAUGCCAAUCAUGGUAAAGGAUACAAACAUAUGAACCAUAUGUAAGUUUUGUAUUCCUUCCAUGUCAUAUUAAUGUUUUGUUUGGAUGACGAAAGAAAAUGUAAGAAAAGAAAAUACUCCUUCUGUCUCAAAAUUAUUGUCACUUUAUGAAUAAAAUUUUGUCUCAAAAUAAUUGUCAUUAUCACUUUUCAAUGUAAUAUUUUCUAAUUGUGCCCCUAAUAAUUACUAUAUGUAUUAUUCUCAAGGAAACAAACCUAUAAUUAAAAGGGGUAAUUUAGUAAAUAUAUUAUUUCUUUUAACAAUAUCAUUAUAUUUCUUAAUAUGUGUGAAACAAUCUUAAAAAACAAUUUUUUUGAGACGGAGGGAGUAGAAGGAAAGAAUGUUGAAGAAAAGAAAAUGAGUAGAAAGUAAAAUGAUUUUAAAGGUGAUAUUCAUCAAAAGGAAAUCGUCCCAAAAUAAUUGAAUAAGUCCACUUUCACUAUAAUAUUUUAUAAUGACAUUCGGCAAAUGGAUGGUGGUAUUGGUGUCUAAUCGGUCUUUGGUUCAGAUAACACGCUGAUGACAGUCAAUUAUAUGAUAUUUUUAGUAGCAAUUUCGAGUAGUUUUAAUAGCAGUUAAAGCCCAAAAGCAAGCAAAUACCUGGAAAAGUGAAGUUACUUGGCCCAGAAGCAAGAAAAGUGGAAAAGCAGCAAUAAAGGGCAAAGACGUAAUAAAUAGCGCAGCCAUCGUACCUACGAUGAGAUCCCAGCAUGGCGCGAUGAGAAGGCGGUUUAAAUUGAAGAAAAUCUGCAACAAAUCUUUACCAUUGUACCACGAUGACUUGUCAUCGUGGCACGAUGAAAGGCGGUUGAAGAAAGCAGAAAAUCUGGAGAUGAUCUUUCAUCGUACCACGAUAUGAUCCAUCGUUGCCACGAUGAUGCAAAAUUACACGCCAUCGUGGCCACGAUGGGUGCGAUGGACGUGUAGAAAAAGCUCAAACCCAGUUGAAAAACUAUAAAUUGAGUCUUCCUCCUCCACUAUUAUUCAUUCAGAAAUCACUCAACAAUAGUGAUACUCAAAAGAGAGUUAGGAGAACUCUAAGGAGGAGUCAAGGAGGCCAAGGAACUCCAAGGCCAGUAAGGUUCCUUUCUUUUCUGUCUUUGUAAUUUAUUUUUCCUAGGUUAGGUGGAGUCGUUGAACUCUCUUACGAAUGCUUGGUUUUGUAUAAUUUGGGUAUAAAUUCAAUUGUUUCUACUUUCAAACUCUUUUAUCGUCUGAUUUUAUAUUUAUUUUAAUACUGAUC